rnacentral:rRNA from 1 species
CCUACGGGAGGCAGCAGUGAGGAAUAUUGGUCAAUGGCCGCAGGGCUGAACCAGCCAAGUCGCGUGAGGGAUGACGGUCCUAUGGAUUGUAAACCUCUUUUGUCAGGGAGCAAAGGGCGCCACGCGUGGCGCUUUGAGAGUACCCGAAGAAAAAGCAUCGGCUAACUCCGUGCCAGCAGCCGCGGUAAUACGGAGGAUGCGAGCGUUAUCCGGAUUUAUUGGGUUUAAAGGGUGCGCAGGCGGAAUGUCAAGUCAGCGGUAAAAGUUCGGGGCUCAACCCCGUCGUGCCUUUGAAACUGGCGUUCUUGAGUGAGCGAGAAGUAUGCGGAAUGCGUGGUGUAGCGGUGAAAUGCAUAGAUAUCACGCAGAACUCCGAUUGCGAAGGCAGCAUACCGGCGCUCAACUGACGCUCAUGCACGAAAGCGUGGGUAUCGAACAGGAUUAGAUACCCCGGUAGUC